rnacentral:misc_RNA from 1 species
GGAAAAAGGUAGCCGAAAACAGAGGAAAAAAUUUUAAAUUCGCCACCACCAAGGCGGGGUGGUUUUCAACGAUCGCACGGUGACAUAUUUCAGACUUGACCAUGUUAUAACGACAUCUCAGACCUCGUUUAACCGCGAAGGUAGGAAAGCACAUAGGUAUACGCGAGUGGAUGAGUGUUAUAUCUGCUCACCCUGAAUUUGCCCCUUUAACGGUUAUAUACAAGAAAAUAUAUACCACGCUAUUGCCUCGCCCGGUUACCCGCGGAAUCGAUCCUUCACGGAACGUGAGGAAAGCUAAGGGUAGACCUUGAUAAUACCAAAUGCUUUUCUCUCCGAUGGUCGUGCAAUAUCGUCAGUAGGCAGAUUGAAUUUUUUGUCUUUCUUUAUGAUUAUCAAAUCAGCGUUAAUGCGUGUGGAGGAAAAGAAUUCUUCGAAAUUUCCCAUGUAAAAUAUAAAUAAACAUAAGUCAAUGUUCAACCGAGUGUUGUCUUUGAAUAUAAAUGGAG